rnacentral:rRNA from 1 species
UGGGGAAUAUUGGACAAUGGGCGAAAGCCUGAUCCAGCCAUGCCGCGUGUGUGAAGAAGGUCUUCGGAUUGUAAAGCACUUUAAGUUGGGAGGAAGGGCAGUAAGCGAAUACCUUGCUGUUUUGACGUUACCGACAGAAUAAGCACCGGCUAACUCUGUGCCAGCAGCCGCGGUAAUACAGAGGGUGCAAGCGUUAAUCGGAAUUACUGGGCGUAAAGCGCGCGUAGGUGGUUCGUUAAGUUGAAUGUGAAAGCCCCGGGCUCAAACUGGGAAGUGCAUCCAAAACUGGCGAGCUAGAGUAGGGCAGAGGGGGGUGGAAUUUCCUGUGUAGCGGUGAAAUGCGUAGAUAUAGGAAGGAACACCAGUGGCGAAGGCGACCACCUGGGCUCAUACUGACACUGAGGUGCGAAAGCGUGGGGAGCAAACAGG